AGCGAACGCUGGCGGCAGGCUUAACACAUGCAAGUCGAGCGGGCACUUUCGGGUGUCAGCGGCGGACGGGUGAGUAACGCGUGGGAACGUGCCCUCUGGUUCGGAAUAACUCAGGGAAACUUGAGCUAAUACCGGAUACGCCCUUUUGGGGAAAGGCUUGCUGCCGGAGGAUCGGCCCGCGUCUGAUUAGCUAGUUGGUGAGGUAACGGCUCACCAAGGCGACGAUCAGUAGCUGGUCUGAGGAUGAUCAGCCACACUGGGACUGAGACACGGCCCAGACUCCUACGGGAGGCAGCAGUGGGGAAUAUUGGACAAUGGGCGCAAGCCUGAUCCAGCCAUGCCGCGUGAGUGAUGAAGGCCUUAGGGUUGUAAAGCUCUUUUAUCCGGGACGAUAAUGACGGUACCGGAGGAAUAAGCCCCGGCUAACUUCGUG
rnacentral:rRNA from 1 species